AAGACGCUCUGUGCGGCCUACUAACAAGCACGAGGGUAGCACAGAGGUUUGACUGUGACCAAGUACAAGAAAUCUACCUUUUCUGGGCUGUUUACUCAUCUGCAAUAUGCAACACCUUGCAAGUCUGACAAGAGGCUUAAGGCAUUAAGGCUACUGUGACCUGCUCCGUGCAACACAAUUAGAGGGUCAUUGAUAAUCGGAACCUAUCAAGAAGAGGACGCUGAAAGAAUACUGUAUUAUGUUGAAUGAGGAAUUGAAGGGAAGGAAGGCAUUUAGCAGACUGGAAAAAAACAGCAAGAGGACCCUAAACCUGUCUGAAUUUGCAAGGGUUUAAUAUUAAAAAGGUGACGGUACUUAUUUUAUGUGACUAUAUAUUGUAUGCCCCCACCCCCCCAAAAGCAGAAAUAAGACAAACGGGUAGAAGCUUUAGGAUGGCAGAUUCACAGCAGUUUAAUACGAGAAAGAACUUCUAACAGAACUGGUUGGAAAGGGAACAGGUUGUUUUUUUGUGUAUUAAUGGUGGAAAUCACAGGGAAUUUUCAAAAUGGAUGACCUUUGUGGUAAUGGUGGAGUUUGAAUUC
rnacentral:lncRNA from 10 species